rnacentral:rRNA from 1 species
GACGAACCGAGCGAACGUUGUUCGGAAUCACUGGGCUUAAAGGGCGCGUAGGCGGGCGAUCAAGUCAGGGGUGAAAGCCCCCAGCUCAACUGGGGAAGUGCCUCUGAUACUGAUCGUCUCGAGGGGGAAAGGGGCGUGCGGAACUUCCGGUGGAGCGGUGAAAUGCGUAGAUAUCGGAAGGAACACCGGUGGCGAAAGCGGCGCGCUGGAUCCCUUCUGACGCUGAGGCGCGAAAGCCAGGGGAGCAAACGGG